rfam:Myotis brandtii contig271207, whole genome shotgun sequence.
GGUGGUUCUCGGGUGACGAACCCCUGAAUUGGGCUCCCUCCUCUCUGGUUCUGGGGUGCGUCACCUGAGAACCACU